CCUACGUGAGGCAGCAGUGGGGAAUAUUGCACAAUGGGGGAAACCCUGAUGCAGCGACGCCGCGUGAGUGAAGAAGUAUUUCGGUAUGUAACGCUCUAUCAGCAGGGAAGAAAAUGACGGUACCUGAUUAAGAAGCUCCGGCUAACGCCGUGCCAGCAGCCGGGGGAAUACGUAGGGGGCAAGCGUUAUACGGAUUUACUGAGUGUAAAGUGAGCGUAGACGGCAGCACAAGUCUGGAGUGAAACGCCGGGGCUGAACCCAGGAACUGCUUUGGAAACCGGGCAGCUAGAGUGCGGGAGAGGGAAGUGGAAUUCGGAGUGUAGCGGGGAAAUGCGGAGAGAGUAGGAGGAA
rnacentral:rRNA from 1 species